CACUAGGCCCUUUUCAGGGCCACAUUACAUUAAGCUGGUCACUGAA
rfam:Operophtera brumata OBRT01_Sc00608, whole genome shotgun sequence.